GGGUAUGAUCAUACCUGCAUUAAUGCACCGGAUCCCAUCAGAACUCCACAGUUAAGCGUGCUCGGGCGAGAGUAGUACAAGUAUGGGUAACCUCUUGGGAAGUCCUCGUGUUGCACCCC
rnacentral:rRNA from 1 species